UGAAUACGAGACGCUACGGCGUCGAAGCAGUCUAUGUCAUACUUCCAAGAAAAGCUUGCACUGUCAUAAACAAAUAAUGCCUGUACCAUAACCGACACAGGUGGGUAGGUAGAGUAUACUAAGGGGCGCGAGAUAGCUCUCUCUAAGAACUCGGCAAAAUGACUCCGUAACUUCGGGAGAAGGAGUGCCUUAUUUAUAAGGUUGCAAUAACAAGAUCCAAGCAACUGUUUAUCAAAAACACAGGUCUCCGCUAAGUCGUAAGACGAUGUAUGGGGGCUGACGCCUGCCCAGUGCCAGAAGGUUAAAGAAGUUGGUUAGCAUUAGCGAAGCUGAUAACUGAAGCCCUGGUGAACGGCGGCCGUAACUAUAACGGUCCUAAGGUAGCGAAAUUCCUUGUCGGGUAAGUUCCGACCCGCACGAAAGGCGUAAUGAUUUGGAUACUGUCUCAGAGAGGGGCUCGGUGAAAUAGACUUGUCUGUGAAGAUGCGGACUACCUGCACCAGGACAGAAAGACCCUAUGAAGCUUUACUGUAACUUGAAAUUGAAAUUGGACUUUAUUUGCGCAGUAUAGGUGGGAGGCAUUGAUAAUAUUCUUGCGGGAAUGUUGGAGCCAUCAGUGAGAUACCACUCUCGUAAUGUUAGAUUUCUAACUUUGGAUCAUUAUCUGGUCAAAGGACAGUUUCAGGCGGGCAGUUUGACUGGGGCGGUCGCCUCCUAAAUGGUAACGGAGGCGCACAAAGGUUUCCUCUGAACGGGUAGAAAUCGUAUCUAGAGUGUAAAGGCAUAAGGAAGCUUGACUGUGAGACCUACAAGUCGAGCAGGGACGAAAGUCGGUCUUAGUGAUCUGACGGUGCUGAGUGGAAAGGCCGUCACUCAACGGAUAAAAGUUACUCUAAGGAUAACAGGCUGAUCUCCCCCAAGAGUUCACAUCGACGGGGAGGUUUGGCACCUCGAUGUCGGCUCAUCGCAUCCUGGGGCGGUAGUACGUCCCAAGGGUUGGGCUGUUCGCCCAUGAAAGCGGUACGCGAGCUGGGUUCAGAACGUCGUGAGACAGUUCGGUCCAUAUCCGGUGUAGGCGCUAGAAUAUUGAGAGGAGCCUUCUUUAGUACGAGAGGACCGAGAAGGACAUACCUCUGGUGUACCAGUUAUCGUGCCAACGGUAAACGCUGGGUAGCUAUGUAUGGAGAGGAUAACCGCUGAAAGCAUCUAAGUGGGAAGCCCACCUCAAGAUAAGUAUUCUCA
rnacentral:rRNA from 1 species